UGUCUUUAAGGAACAAAUGUUGCAUGUGUAAAAAGGAAAAAGAAUCCAUUUAUUGCAUUAUACACACAAAUUUCUUUUCAAGAAAAACUUAUUUGUGGUCAAAUUAUAUUUUUAUUGAUUUGAAGAAUGAUGUGGUUAUAAUCUCUAUACUCUAAUUCUUCAUUUUUCCUAGUUGUUAAUCAAGGGCUUGAGGAACCUGGUUAUCAAAUAGCUUCAACUUAAUUUGGGCCUUAACUUGAUUUAAUUUUGAGAGUUGACUUGACUUGAGUCUUGGCAUGAUUUGCACCUUGUCUUGACUUGGACCUUGGUGUGAUUUGGAUUUUGGCUUGACUUGGACUUUGGCGUGAAUUAGGUAUUGGUGUGACUUGAGCUUUGGCUUGAUUGCCUUGACAUAACUUGAACAAUGCCAAUUGAG
rnacentral:lncRNA from 1 species